GCGCCCUUAGCUCAGCUGGAUAGAGUAGCAGCCUCCGAAGCUGCGGGCCAGUGGUUCGAAUCCACUAGGGCGCACCA
rnacentral:tRNA from 1 species